AGUGAACGCUGGCGGUAGGCCUAACACAUGCAAGUCGAACGGCAGCACAGUAAGAGCUUGCUCUUACGGGUGGCGAGUGGCGGACGGGUGAGGAAUACAUCGGAAUCUACUUUUUCGUGGGGGAUAACGUAGGGAAACUUACGCUAAUACCGCAUACGACCUACGGGUGAAAGCAGGGGAUCUUCGGACCUUGCGCGAUUGAAUGAGCCGAUGUCGGAUUAGCUAGUUGGCGGGGUAAAGGCCCACCAAGGCGACGAUCCGUAGCUGGUCUGAGAGGAUGAUCAGCCACACUGGAACUGAGACACGGUCCAGACUCCUACGGGAGGCAGCAGUGGGGAAUAUUGGAAGAGGGGCGCAAGCCUGAUCCAGCCAUACCGCGUGGGUGAAGAAGGCCUUCGGGUUGGAAAGCCCUUUUGUUGGGAAAGAAAAGCAGCAGGUUAAUACCCCGCUGUUCUGACGGUACCCAAAGAAUAAGCACCGGCUAACUUCG
rnacentral:rRNA from 1 species